UAACAGACGCCAUUUUGCGUGUGAUCGAUCAUAAUAGAUUCAAGUUUGUGGUGUGCAGGUACAUAAGAAGGAAACUGGGAACAAGAAGAUUUUUCUUAUUGGUUUUCGUAUCUCAUGAUUUUUGUACACAUCUUGAUCGGCUUGGAUCCGAUUUAGAUUAUAUUUAUCUGAUCAUAAAAUCGUUUAGAUCGGAAACUAUAAAGUGUUAUCAAGGAAACCAGAUUUUCUUCUCAGGGAACCCUCUGCGGAUAACUCCAAAUCAAUUCAAUAAGGUCGAGGAUUUUAUAUUUCUCUUUCAUUUUCUCUUCUUCUUCUUUCUUCUUUUUAUUUCUCUCUUCUCUUCUCUGCUUCUCUUGUUCUUCGGUCGAGUGAGGAUUUGAGAAAUCAAUUUAGUGACUGGGAGAUCGAAUAAAGAGGGGAAGGAUUAUGUAGUAAUUGUUGGUGGUGGUGUUCGAUUGGUGUUUGAAGAAGAUUAAAAGAAAUAUGAAUCCGGAAGAAACAGAACUAGGGUUUUAGUUAGAUUCUGAAUUGGACGGGAAUUGGUUGGUUUGCAGAGUUGCUAGUAGAUGAAGUACGAUCGGGUUAUUGUUUAAUUGAUUUUCUGAAGUUGAUUCGAUAAGUAUUGAAGAACUAGGGUUUUUCUUAUAUAAUUGAAUCGACUACAGAUUUAGAAGGUGGGUUUAAUUUGGAAGAUACAGAUUGAUUUAUAAAUGGGUUUUGUGUAUUAAUAACAAAGAACAACAUUUGGUAUUCAAUUUACGAUUCAUAGUGAAGAAAAAGUAAAUUAGGGUUUCGUGUUCUUCCCCAAAUUAGAAGUUAGGGUUUCUGAGUAAUUGAGGAUGGAAAUCAAAUUAGUUAAGAGAUGGGUUUGGAUGAUUGAGAGGAUUAUAGUGGAGUUGCUAGUGAAAUCUUAAUCUCAAAUGAUGAAAUUGGUGCUGAGAUUGAUUGAAGUCUGGAAGACGAGAAAAAGGUUAUUAUUUGUGUCUGAGGUUUUGGAAAACUGCUGGGUUGCUUUGGCUGUGUUUGUGUUGGUAGUAAUGUGAUGAGAUGGAGGAAAGAUUAAAUUAUAAAUGGAGGUUGAGUGAUUGUGUUAAGGAAUUAUAACAUGAGUUAAUGAAUGAGUGUUGUUUGAGUUGCAGUUGAGGAUGAUGUGUCUGGGAGUUCUUAUUAUUGUUAUGAUGAUUGUGUUGGUGGCCAUGUAAUAAGGAAUUGAGCUGUAAUGAAGCUCAUAUGUAUGGAGUAUGAGUUAUAUGUAAUUGGAAUUGUAAUUAGUAAUGUUUUGAUUUAAGGAAAUUGAUUUGCAUAGGUAGGUGUUUGUGCUGAGUUACAAGUUGUAGUGGCGUUGUUGAAGCUACAGGGGAUAUGAGUGGCUGGUGGAAGUUUAGGAACUGUUUUGAGAUAUGGAAUAAAGUUACAGUUACUACUUGUUAAGCUGGUGGAGAUUUCUUUGGAGAGUUUUCUUUGUAGUAUUGUUUGCAGAUUGUGCAGACAUGAAUGAAGUGAGUUAUAGGAAUGAAGGUUUGGUGAGUUUGUGGAGUUGAAUCUCUCUUGUAGAAGCUUAGAGAUGCAACUGCAAGUAAUUAAGCAGUGAUUGUGUUUUUAAUUUGAUUCUAAAGUUUGCUUUUGAAUUUAUGAAUUGAAGUUGUACUUGAGUUAUGAUUUAUGCAAGAUUCUUAUCCUGAGUUCUUUCA